UACAUUUCGGUAUUGAAGUGAAUGUACAAUUCUUUAUGCUGUAAAAGAAAGGUCAGGUCCUUUUAGCGGGAACCUAAACUUCCUGGAGCUGCAUUCGAAUAUCGUUGGAUGUUGAUGCUGGAACUGGCGUGAACAGGAAGUUGGGGGAGGCACUCAAUGCUCGCGUGAUGUGGCCGAGGGACUUGAGGAGAAUUAUACACUGACAGCAGUGGAGAUGAGAGCGCACUUGAAAUUAUCAGGUAAGAGAGGGUUAAUCGAGCAAAAUGUACAAUUAUUGGUCAGAUAAUGUCGGUCAAAUUUCUAAAUAAUUAUGGCGUACGAAUAAUGAUAUAUCCGUAAAUCGUAUUUUACCGAUUUAAAGAUGUUCAUUAUUCAUUGUAUUGUCACGCCCCCCUCGGGAGAAUGCAGCGGCAGCAGCCACACCUGAGUUACGUCAACUCCCUGUUUAGUUCUGCUUGGCGCUGCAUUAUAUGCAAGGUACUGUUGAGGGUUUUCAUAAGAAGUACAGGGCGGUCUUCCUCCUGUCUACCCCGAUCCGGUCCAUCCGCCUGCUUUGCUGCCAUUCCAUCCCAUCCCAUCCUGAUCCUCCCGGACCUCUUCCUUGUACUUGUCCUUCGUCUCGCAUGCCACCUGUAGAACUGGCUUUUGGACUCGAUUGUACUUGCUGAUUCCAGUUCUGUUUGCGUGUUCCCAACAAUAAACCCCGUACAGUACGUUGCCUUCUGUGUCUCUACCAUCCUCCGGGGUUGCAUGUUGUGCAGUACUGUAGUAGCUUGGAUUCAACCAUUAGAUGGCAGUAGUAGCAUAUAGUUGGAGGGAAGUAGAAGAAGGCAAGAGAGGGAAGUUGAGUGUUUAUGCGUUGUUCCCGGAGCUGAUAAGUUAAUAAAUAUUGAACCUCUUGCCAUCCCCAAAUGUGUCUCGGCUGACUCUCAAUAUAUCAAAAGUACAUACCGUCUAUUUAUUUAUGUCUGCCCUUCAAACCGCUAGAUUCCUUCACUAAGCAGGAAGUUUGUCACGACAGCUGACACCAAAUCUCCUGCUGAGCUGGUUCAGACAGAACUAUCCUCAAUUCACCACGAGGGGGCGCCAACGCAGCAGCUUAGUUCUAUUGUUUCUCUUUUUCAAAGACAGUUUUUCUCUUCACAAAAGGACAACUUAACUGAAUAAUGCACUUUCAUAGUAAUUGUUUUUAAUCCGUGUUAAUGUUCUGAACAAUGACUACUAAAGGUUCUGUAAGGUUGUCCCACAUACUAUGGAUUUUAAGUUUUUUAUCAAGGUGUUAAAAUGUACCAUCUAUUUUCUGCUGAAAGUUGCCAGUCCUGUGUUUUAUGUCUAGCAAUUUGUACAGUUUCUUCAGUAUGGCGCAUAAACACAUGCCAUCAUCUACAGUAUGAGAAUCUCCUCCAGAACUCUGCAUUUCCUCAAGAUUUUUUUUGUAAUAUUACAUAGGUGCAUCUCAUGAACCUUAAUUUGCCAAGCAUGUAUUGACUGGGCACAGUACAGUGGUGCAAUUUCUGACAAUGAAAGAACAUCAUGGACCCCUACUCCCCAUUCCUUAACCCGAUCGAGGGGCUCUGCUCAGCAUGGAGUUAGAAGGCUUACGAUCGCCAGCCACAUGCUCAGAUGACCCUGCUGGCUGACAUGGAUGCAGCAUGUGAGGACAUUACAGCAGAUGCCUGCAGAGGCAGGUAAGACAUUAGAAAAGAUUCCUUUUUUUCUUAUGUUUUAUUCUUUCUGUUUUUUCUUAUGUACAAAUACAUAAGUGCACAUUAGGAUGCUUUUUCACUAUUACGUAAGUUCCCAUGUGAACAGCCAAUCAGAUCAGCCUGAUGUGUGUCUCUCUGUUUCCUCUCUGUUUCCUGCCCUUUCAUCCCGACCAUGACCAUGAUCUCUCACUUAGCAGCAGAGCAGUUUAUUCUAAACAGUGGAACCGCAAAGAUGUUCAGACUCUUUGGUCUUCUCAUUUUCAUUAGUAGGGUUCUAUACUAUUAAAUCAUAUUUUGUGGGGAUUUUUAUAUAUCCUGUACGAUGUGAUUAGUGUAAUAAGUAUUUGGCCAUUUAAUCUUCAUCAUAUGUAAUGGGUAUUCUGAUUAUUAUUAUGAUAUUUAUUUAUUUGCUUGUUUGUUUGUUUGUUUGUUUAUUCAUUUGUGUUUCUCUCUUUUUCCAGACACUUC